rnacentral:rRNA from 1 species
AUUGAACGCUGGCGGCAUGCCUUACACAUGCAAGUCGAACGGUAACAGGUCUUCGGAUGCUGACGAGUGGCGAACGGGUGAGUAAUACAUCGGAACGUGCCCAGACGUGGGGGAUAACGAGGCGAAAGCUUUGCUAAUACCGCAUACGAUCUAAGGAUGAAAGCAGGGGACCGCAAGGCCUUGCGCGUUUGGAGCGGCCGAUGGCAGAUUAGGUAGUUGGUGGGAUAAAAGCUUACCAAGCCGACGAUCUGUAGCGGGUCUGAGAGGACGACCAGCCACACUGGGACUGAGACACGGCCCAGACUCCUACGGGAGGCAGCAGUGGGGAAUUUUGGACAAUGGGCGAAAGCCUGAUCCAGCAAUGCCGCGUGCAGGAUGAAGGCCUUCGGGUUGUAAACUGCUUUUGUACGGAACGAAAAGGCUCUGGCUAAUACCUGGGGCACAUGACGGUACCGUAAGAAUAAGCACCGGCUAACUACGUG